UCCUGUGUUCACUGCAUGUGUUAGGUCCUGCAGGCUGUUCGUUGUCGCAGCUUUUGGGAGUCCGGUUGCUUUCACGUUGUUGCUGCUGCUGUUUCGCUUUCGGGGUCUUCUUACUGCGUGUUUCCAGCUUUGGCGUCUUUUUAAAUAGCUACGCGUCUCCAUAUUUUUUUCCGAGAAAAUCACUGUCUAUCCAUAUUGAGACGGGCAAUGAAAGAUGUGUAUCAACAAUUCGGUGCGAUGGAUGACCAGCCACCUGCGUGAGGCAGCUGCUUCUCUUAACCACAACAGCCAAUUCACGAAGUGGAGAAUGAUAGACGAACACCUGCGGCCUCUCCAGCGUAUGCAUUGUCCAUCUUGGAGAGGCUGGCGAGAGGUCAAAGAAGCGAAAUCGGCGGACGAAAGUUUGUCAAUAUUGUAUGCCGGGAGGGGAGGAUCGGGGAUUACAACACGCCCCCAAACCCGAAGCAUUGUGCGAUUGUGGAGAGGUUGAGGCAACGGAUCGAGCUAUGUCGCCGGCACCAUGCAGUCUGCCAUUCCGCUACGAGCAGAACCAGCUGCAGCGCGUCGAGCAGGAACGAAAGGAUAAACUCGUCCUGCACCAGAAAUACCUGGAAACACGAAGUAAGAAGACUCCGAAAGCGAAACAGCAGCAGCAACAUGAAAGCAACCGGACUCCCAAAAACUGCGACAGCGAACACCCUGCAGAACCGCAUCCAGUGAACACAGGAAUCUCACCCUCAUUGCUAAUGACAACGAAAGAGAAACAGAUCCUGUGUGUUGGGUUAGUUUGUUUGGACAUAAUUAAUGUGGUUGAUAAAUUUCCUGUUGAAGAUACAGACACAAGAUGUUUGUCUCAGAUAUGGCAACGGGGUGGAAAUGCUUCCAAUUCAUGUACAGUACUGGCACUACUUGGUGCUCAAUGUGGAUUCAUGGGCUCACUGACACCUGGACAUGUUUCAGAAUUCAUAACAGAUGAUUUUCGAAGCAGAGGUAUCAACAUAUCGAAUAUUGUAUGGCAACGAGUGGGAAUCACACCUUGUGCUUGCUGCAUUGUGAACCUUUCCAAUGGCUCACGGACAGUCGUACUAUCUGAUAUGGAUUUAUGUGAUGUUACCUCAGAUGAUUUCAGGAAAAUUGAUCUUUCCUUAUACAAGUGGAUUCACUGGGAGGGCCGAAAUGUAUCUGAGCAGGUUGCUAUGAUACAGCAAGUUGAACAGUACAAUGCCACCGUGUCAGCAGAGCAACGUAUUACCACCUCUGUAGAGAUUGAGAAAACAAGAGAAGAAAUUUACCAACUCUUUGGGCAUGGAGAUGUGGUUUUCAUCAGCAAAGAUGUUGCCAGACAUUUUGGGUUUAAUUCGGCAUCAGAAGCUGUAAAAGGACUUUACAACCGAGUAAAGCUAGGUGCUUACCUAAUCUGUGCCUGGGCUGAGAAGGGAGCUGAUGCAAUGGGUCCUGAUGGAAUCUUUCAUUCAAACGCCUUUCCCCCUGAAAAUGUUGUGGAUACCCUUGGAGCAGGAGAUACAUUCAAUGCAGCUGUAUUAUUUUCACUGUACAAUGGCAAAUCUAUUCAGGAAUCGUUGAUAUUUGGUUGUCAAAUUGCAGGGAGAAAGUGUGGAAUUCAAGGAUAUGAUGGAAUUGUCUGAUUGGAGAAAUGAAUAUUCACUGAGCAUAGAAACGAAGGAACCUGGACAUUCUUGAAACCAUCUGAUAGAUGCUGCCAGACCGACUGAGCUUUUCCGGCAAUUUCAAAUUUUGUCCCUGGUACUUUUUCCUUUGUGUUUGGUAACCAGACUGAUGGCAAAACAAAAUCCGUGACACCUCAAAUAUCGAGCAAGAGGGCUGGCUGCUUAGGAUCCAGCUUGAGGAACUAACCCUGUCAACCUGGGUGGCAACUUGCAAGGAUCUGUGUACAUGGACACCGAGAUCUCUCUGCUUAUCUGACUAAUGGAAGACUGGUUUCCUUGGGUUGGUGAUGUCAAUUUCAAUAUCAUUAAACAGUAUCUAGUAAACAUAAUUGGAGACAAAAAAAUUGCAGAUGUUGAAAUCCAACAUGGACAAACUGGAGGCUAGAAGAAAACAGCAAGCCAGGCAGCAUCUGGAGGAAAGGAGCAGUCAACUUUUCAGCCAUGUACUGAAGCAGGAACAACAGCCAGCAGGCCAGGAGCAAAGCAGGGAUGGCCAAGAGGCCCAGAGUGAAAGCGACGACUGGUUGGGAACUGGCAGAGCCUGGUCAGACUAAAUAGAAGCCCUGAGAGAAAGAAUGCAAAUCAUUUAUAUAAAUGACAAAAGAGGACCCAGAACUGAUCCCUGUGGAACACUCAGAUAACACAGUGUGAAGCUGGAUGAACAGAGCAGGCCAAGCAGCAUCAGAGGAGCAGAAAACUUGACAUUUCAGGUCGGGACCCUUCUUUAGAACGCUUCUGGCCACAGGCUUCCCGUCUGAAAAGUAACCCUCCACUAUUAGUCACUAUCUCCUGCCAUUAAACCAAUUAUGUAUCCAAUUGGCAAGCUCACCCUGAAUCCCACAUGACCAGACUUUACUAUUAACAAUCAUGCAGAACCUUGUCAAAGGCUUUACUAAAAUCCAAAGCUGUCUUCUCAUUUCUACAACUUCAGCUCUAAUGUGAACUGUGCAAUUUUUAUUUAUAUAUAUAUUUUUAGUAUCAUAUUAUCAAUUUGAGUUUGGGCUUGUUGAGUUAGAAAUUGGAAGGUUUUUUGUGCCUCAGAAAUUAAAUGAACUUAAGUGUGUCUGAAGCCACGGUAAUGUUUUUUGCAACACAGGGAUAACAAGUCAAACCAAACCAGCCUCGCAAUCACUGGAUUCUCAGCACAUUGUAAGGAUUCUAUGAAGUCUAUGAAAACACAGAAUUGCUAAACUGCUCAAAAUUGCUCAAUUGCUCCUAAUGAAUCUUGGACACCAAGUUAAUAACUUAAACAAAAUUCGACAAUUUAUUAAUAAUGUCAAUUCAACAGUAUACAAAGACAACAGGGCAAUCUAAUUAAUAUCUACAAGCUAAGUCUAAUCUUAUUUGAUCACAAACCCUUAUCACACACUAGACAGACAAAGUUAAAGGGUAAACUAGAAAGAAAACAAAUUAAUCAUAACUUAUUAAUUUAAAAACUAUUUCAAAUAUCUUUGGAUUAUAGGUUGUAAUACAGGCAGACAGAUCUGAAUAUCUUGCUUGAAUUUUGAUGUCACUAAUCAAUACAAACAGCUUCUACAGACCUUUGGAGACUUUUACUUUUAUUUUGAAAAAAGCUGGAUUUCUGUUCCCAGAACUUUCAACUAGUUGAUAUGUGGAAAAUAACCAGAAAGGAAGCAAAACAAAAAAUGCUUCCCAGUCUGACACCUUCUAAAAUUGCCUUGUGGUUGGGUGACUAGCGUCAGUCUUCCUUUAAUUGACCAAUUCGACAUCCAGCUGCGAGUCCCUGAGCAGAUACACACCUUGGUGCCAAAUCAUCUAUAAUGUUCUUAGGACAUCAAUUAGUCUGCAUCAUCUUUCCAUGCCAACUCCAAACAGCAAAGCAUCUGUACUAUGUAUCCCCUGUAUAAAACAAGCUGCUGUUAAAAGUUAAAUUCUGUUCCAAACCAAAAAUGAUAAAAUAAAAGUGGUGAUGGUCUCAACAUCUGGAUUUAAAGUGAACGGAUUCAUGUGCACUACUAAUGCAUUUUUGUUUAUCUGGGAUUGCUUUG